rnacentral:tRNA from 1 species
AUUUAUAUAGUUUAAUAAAAACCUUACAUUUUCAUUGUAAAAUUAUAAAAUCUUUAUUAUAAAUA